GUCGAACGAGACCUUCGGGUCUAGUGGCGCACGGGUGCGUAACGCGUGGGAAUCUGCCCUUGGGUUCGGAAUAACAGUGAGAAAUUACUGCUAAUACCGGAUGAUGUCGCGAGACCAAAGAUUUAUCGCCCAGGGAUGAGCCCGCGUAGGAUUAGCUAGUUGGUGAGGUAAAGGCUCACCAAGGCGACGAUCCUUAGCUGGUCUGAGAGGAUGAUCAGCCACACUGGGACUGAGACACGGCCCAGACUCCUACGGGAGGCAGCAGUGGGGAAUAUUGGACAAUGGGCGAAAGCCUGAUCCAGCAAUGCCGCGUGAGUGAUGAAGGCCCUAGGGUUGUAAAGCUCUUUUACCCGGGAUGAUAAUGACAGUACCGGGAGAAUAAGCCCCGGCUAACUCCGUGCCAGCAGCCGCGGUAAUACGGAGGGGGCUAGCGUUGUUCGGAAUUACUGGGCGUAAAGCGCACGUAGGCGGCUUUGUAAGUUAGAGGUGAAAGCCUGGAGCUCAACUUCAGAAUAGCCUUUAAGACUGCAUCGCUUGAAUCCAGGAGAGGUGAGUGGAAUUCCGAGUGUAGAGGUGAAAUUCGUAGAUAUUCGGAAGAACACCAGUGGCGAAGGCGGCUCACUGGACUGGUAUUGACGCUGAGGUGCGAA
rnacentral:rRNA from 1 species